CUUUUUUCGUAUUUGGAUUUAUCUCGUGGUU
rnacentral:tRNA from 1 species